GAUCAUGGCUCAGGAUGAACGCUAGCUACAGGCUUAACACAUGCAAGUCGAGGGGCAGCAUGGUCUUAGCUUGCUAAGGCCGAUGGCGACCGGCGCACGGGUGAGUAGCACGUAUCCAACCUGCCGUCUACUCUUGGACAGCCUUCUGAAAGGAAGAUUAAUACAAGAUGGCAUCACGAGUUCACAUGUUCACAUGAUUAAAGGUAUUCCGGUAGACGAUGGGGA
rnacentral:rRNA from 1 species